GACGAACGCUGGCGGCGUGCCUAAUACAUGCAAGUCGAGCGCAGGAAACUGACGGAACUCUUCGGAGGGAAGGCAGUGGAAUGAGCGGCGGACGGGUGAGUAACACGUAAGGAACCUGCCUCAAGGAUUGGGAUAACUCCGAGAAAUCGGAGCUAAUACCGGAUAGUUCAACGGACCGCAUGGUCCGUUGAUGAAAGGCGCUCCGGCGUCACCUUGAGAUGGCCUUGCGGUGCAUUAGCUAGUUGGUGGGGUAACGGCUCACCAAGGCGACGAUGCAUAGCCGACCUGAGAGGGUGAUCGGCCACACUGGGACUGAGACACGGCCCAGACUCCUACGGGAGGCAGCAGUAGGGAAUCUUCCACAAUGGACGAAAGUCUGAUGGAGCAACGCCGCGUGAGUGAUGAAGGUUUUCGGAUCGUAAAACUCUGUUGUAAGGGAAGAACACGUACGAGAGGAAAUGCUCGUACCUUGACGGUACCUUACGAGAAAGCCACGGCUAACUACGUGCCAGCAGCCGCGGUAA
rnacentral:rRNA from 1 species